rnacentral:tRNA from 1 species
GGGGUUGUGGCUCAACGGUAGAGCGCUUGUCUCGCACACAUGGGACCCUGGGUUCGAUCCUCAAUACCA